rnacentral:rRNA from 1 species
AGAGUUUGAUCAUGGCUCAGGAUGAACGCUGGCGGCGUGCCUAACACAUGCAAGUCGAACGGAGCACUGAGACUUCGGUUUUUGUGCUUAGUGGCGGACGGGUGAGUAACGCGUGAGCAAUCUGCCUUUCAGAGGGGGGUAACGACUGGAAACGGUCGCUAAUACCGCAUAACGUAUUUUGCAGGCAUCUGCGAAAUACCAAAGGAGCAAUCCGCUGAAAGAUGAGCUCGCGUCUGAUUAGAUAGUCGGUGAGGUAACGGCCCACCAAGUCGACGAUCAGUAGCCGGACUGAGAGGUUGAACGGCCACAUUGGGACUGAGACACGGCCCAGACUCCUACGGGAGGCAGCAGUGGGGAAUAUUGCGCAAUGGGGGCAACCCUGACGCAGCAACGCCGCGUGAUCGAAGAAGGUCUUCGGAUUGUAAAGAUCUUUUAUCAGGGACGAAUAAAAUGACGGUACCUGAUGAAUAAGCUCCGGCUAACUACGUGCCAGCAGCCGCGGUAAUACGUAGGGAGCGAGCGUUAUCCGGAUUUACUGGGUGUAAAGGGCGAGUAGGCGGGCUGGUAAGUUGGAAGUGAAAUGUCGGGGCUUAACCCCGGAACUGCUUUCAAAACUGCUGGUCUUGAGUGAUGGAGAGGCAGGCGGAAUUCCUAGUGUAGCGGUGAAAUGCGUAGAUAUUAGGAGGAACACCAGUGGCGAAGGCGGCCUGCUGGACAUUAACUGACGCUGAGGAGCGAAAGCGUGGGGAGCAAACAGGAUUAGAUACCCUGUAGUCCACGCCGUAAACGAUGGAUACUAGUGUGGGAGGUAUUGACCCCUUCCGUGCCGCAGUUAACACAAUAAGUAUCCCACCUGGGGAGUACGACCGCAAGGUUGAAACUCAAAGGAAUUGACGG